rnacentral:rRNA from 1 species
GACGAACGCUGGCGGCGUGCUUAACACAUGCAAGUCGAACGGUAAGGCCCUUCGGGGUACACGAGUGGCGAACGGGUGAGUAACACGUGGGUGAUCUGCCCUGCACUUCGGGAUAAGCCUGGGAAACUGGGUCUAAUACCGGAUAGGACCACUGCCUGCAUGGGUGGUGGUGGAAAGCUUUUGCGGUGUGGGAUGGGCCCGCGGCCUAUCAGCUUGUUGGUGGGGUGAUGGCCUACCAAGGCGACGACGGGUAGCCGGCCUGAGAGGGUGACCGGCCGCACUGGGACUGAGAUACGGCCCAGACUCCUACGGGAGGCAGCAGUGGGGAAUAUUGCACACUGGGCGCAAGCCUGAUGCAGCGACGCCGCGUGAGGGAUGACGGCCUUCGGGUUGUAAACCUCUUUCAGCACCGACGAAGCGCAAGUGACGGUAGGUGCAGAAGAAGGACCGGCCAACUACGUGCCAGCAGCCGCGGUAA